rnacentral:rRNA from 1 species
GAUGAACGCUGGCGGCGUGCUUAACACAUGCAAGUCGAACGGGAAACCUUUUAUUGAAGCUUCGGCAGAUUUAGCUGGUUUCUAGUGGCGGACGGGUGAGUAACGCGUGGGUAACCUGCCUUAUACAGGGGGAUAACAACCAGAAAUGGUUGCUAAUACCGCAUAAGCGCACAGGACCGCAUGGUCCGGUGUGCAAAACUCCGGUGGUAUAAGAUGGACCCGCGUUGGAUUAGCUAGUUGGCAGGGUAACGGCCUACCAAGGCGACGAUCCAUAGCCGGCCUGAGAGGGUGAACGGCCACAUUGGGACUGAGACACGGCCCAGACUCCUACGGGAGGCAGCAGUGGGGAAUAUUGCACAAUGGGGGAAACCCUGAUGCAGCGACGCCGCGUGAAGGAAGAAGUAUCUCGGUAUGUAAACUUCUAUCAGCAGGGAAGAUAGUGACGGUACCUGACUAAGAAGCCCCGGCUAACUACGUG